GAAGUAGUAGUUUACUAUAAAACAUCAAGUUGCAAACUUGGGGAAGGCUAUGUCCUACUUUU
rnacentral:tRNA from 1 species